UGAGUAAACCAGACAAUCGCGUGCGAAAGUACGAGGAAAGUCCGAGCUCCAUAGAGCAGGGUGCUGGGUAAUCCCCAGUGGAGGCGACUCCAAGGAAAGUGCAAUAGAAAGAUACCGCCUCAGCAGGCAGGCUUCGGCCGCUGCUGCGGUAAGGGUGGAAUGGUGAGGUAAGAGCUCACCAGCGUUCAGGUGACUGGACGGCUCUGUAAACCCCGCCUGGAGCAAGACCAAGUACGGGAUGAGAAGGGAGUUGCUCGCUCCCCCCGGUUGGUAGGUCGCUUGAGCCCUCCGGCAACGAUGGGCCUAGAUAGAUGAUUGUCAAAUACAGAACUCGGCUUAUAGGUUUACUCACACA
rnacentral:RNase_P_RNA from 1 species